UACGAAGGGUGCAAGCGUUACUCGGAAUUACUGGGCGUAAAGCGUGCGUAGGUGGUUUGUUAAGUCAGAUGUGAAAUCCCGGGGCUCAACCCCGGAACAGCAUUUGAAACUGAGAGUCUUGAGGGUAGUCGGAGAAAGUGGAAUUCCACGUGUAGCGGUGAAAUGCGUAGAUAUGUGGAAGAACACCGGUGGCGAAGGCGACUUUCUAGAUUAUUCCUGACGCUGAGGCGCGAAAGCAAGGGGAUCAAACAGG
rnacentral:rRNA from 1 species